GGAAUCUGACAAUCUUGUAUAAAGGACACAUACCAUCAACAUUUUAAAUCAUCAGAUUUGGCGCAUUAAUGGGGAAAGUAUAACAAUUUUGAAACACCCAAAUCAAUUAAAAAGUGUUCAAUAUCAAUUUUGAACUUAAACAUCCAUCACAAGAAAUGAUAAAAGGGUGCCCAUAACUAAAUUCCACUAAAAGAAAUGAAGAAACGCAAAGUCACCUCAUAAAACAAGAAACGAAAUUCAGACCCCAAAACCAGUAAAGAGACUAUUACAAUUCAUUUUAUACAAUAAGAAAAAGCGUCGUCUGCACUAACAAAAG
rnacentral:misc_RNA from 1 species